UUGCAUGAUGAAAAUCUAGGGAUGUGCAGCUCCAGAUUGAGUAGAGAAUGAUGUAGCAAAAGACCUCCCAGUACUCUUUGGAA